GUGCUCACUUGGCUGCACACACACUAAAAUUGGGACAAUAUAGAGAUUAGCGUGGCCCCUGCGCAAAGAUGACGUGCAAAUUCCUGAAGCCUUCCAUAUUGUU